GAUGAACGCUAGCUACAGGCUUAACACAUGCAAGUCGAGGGGCAGCACGGAGAUAGCUUGCUAUCUUGGGUGGCGACCGGCGCACGGGUGAGUAACGCGUAUCCAACCUGCCCAUUACUCAGGGAUAGCCUUGCGAAAGUAAGAUUAAUAUCUGAUGUUGUUAAAAACCCGCAUGAGUUUUUAACCAAAGAUUUAUUGGUAAUGGAUGGGGAUGCGUGACAUUAGGUAGUAGGUGAGGUAACGGCUCACCUAGCCGACGAUGUCUAGGGGUUCUGAGAGGAAGGUCCCCCCACACUGGAACUGAGACACGGUCCAGACUCCUACGGGAGGCAGCAGUAGGGAAUCUUUCACAAUGGGCGAAAGCCUGAUGGAGCAACGCCGCGUGCAGGAUGACGGCC
rnacentral:rRNA from 1 species